AACAAAAAUACAACAACGUUACGUUUUUUGACAGAGUGUAUAGCUGUGUAAGUAAAAAAACGCGACGACAUGGCGUGAAAGAGAUUGCCAAGCUGGAAAAAGAAGGGAAAGCAGAGUAAAAAUGGAGAGCGAAUUUAUCGUUAUUUGGAAAUUUCGUUGCUGAAUACGUGAGCAUCUCGCCGAAGGACAAACGCGGUUUAGUUGGGUUAGUUGGGUUAUACCUGACUAAAGGGAAAUUCGAACUCGAUAAGGAGGGGCUCGCUCGUCGAUACGUUCCACCUCGUAACUAUUAGCGCUGGUGAACGUUCCCGUUUCUGGGUAAAUUCGAUUAAUUACUCGGCAUCCAUAAUUAUUGACGUUGGCCUAACGUGAACAGCUUGCUCGACUACUCGAUUACUGCGGCGACAACGAGAAUCCAUUCGCCGAGGUACCGUCUAAAAUUAGUCGUGUCUCCCGCUAGUCGCCACCGUUGGAAAGGUCGCCCGGUGAUUUUCUGCUUGGACGGAACACGACCAAACACACGCCUUGCAACAUCAUUCGCUCGAGUCGUCGAGUCGUUUCGAGGACGAGAACGCGUUUUUUUCUGUUUUUUUUUUUUUUUCGACUGAAAUUUUGAGGUUUAGGUUAGGUUACUGGAUAAGAUAAAAGUUACGAGCGAGAAUAGUAAAGUCUGGCGAGCGAAUCUAUUUUGUUCGAAUCAUCGUUUUGAAUCACCGAUGACCUCUCACCACUCUCAACUCGACUCGAUCCCUCGAGGAUCAGUCAACAGUUGCCUCGUGAUAAAACGGACCAUAGCGAGCGCGCGCGACAAACAGCUACCGACAAUGAGAGAUAAGAGAACGAUAUGUAUGUACAUACAUACAUAGUUGGUAGACGUCGAGCAGAAGGUGCUGUCGAGUUGCUGUCAAUCGCGUUAUCGCGUUAUCGCGCUAUCGAGGACGGAGUGCCCUCGAGUCGAAAGCGAGUUGCCCGAACAGGGAUUGGGGACUAUGAUCCGGAGCAGGACACACGAGAGCAGAGUUAAACGCAUGCAAACAUUUAACCGCAAUGCAAACACCGUCUCGAGUGGCCAUAAAGACGCUUACGCAGACAAUCAAGAUGUUUAUGCGGCGUGGGAUGUUUGGAUUGCUGCGCGAUCGUCGUCGAUUGAACGUCAUAGCGUUUUUUACAGGUGAAACCAAGAAAAGGAAACGACAGAAAGUAGGUCCUUUUUUUUCACUCGACUGUCCCUUCUGAUGGGACAUUGUAAUUAAAUCUAGCCAACAACUUCGACUUUUCCACCUUAUAAUUUGCUGAUAAUUAUAAUGAACAUUCCUACGUUUAUCAUGCUGG